rnacentral:rRNA from 1 species
UACGGAGGGUGCAAGCGUUAUCCGGAUUUACUGGGUUUAAAGGGUGUGUAGGCGGACUUUUAAGUCAGCGGUGAAAUCUCCGGGCUCAACCCGGAAACUGCCAUUGAUACUAUUGGUCUUGAAUAUUGUGGAGGUGGGCGGAACGGGUCAUGUAGCGGUGAAAUGCUUAGAGAUGACCCGGAACACCGAUUGCGAAGGCAGCCCACUACGCAAUGAUUGACGCUGAGGAACGAAAGCGUGGGGAUCAAACAGG